UUCAACACAAACUUACCAAUAAAUAAAUCAAAGUUCCGAGCAUCAUUAGCCAUGUGCUCAACAAGAACAGUUAAAAUCUUUUCACAAACUUACUGAUAAAUAAAUAAGCAAGCACAAACACACAUAUUUACAAUGAGAAAGAAGGAAAAAAAAAACCCAUAAAUUCUUCACACAUUAACUAAACAAAUUGAACACCUCUAUAUGUCACUUUUGUCACUUUUUUUUGGGUGCUGAAACCAGUCCAAUGUCUGGGGGCUAAGGCACCCACGCCCGAUCAGGUGACACCUGCAACACAAAACACACACAAUUCAAAUUACAUCAGUAAAUUACAAGUAAUUGAUAAAUAAACAUAAUAAGGAAAUUAAGAUUACCAAUAUUCUUCAUCUGUGAUUAGGUAAUUUAAACGGCUUCGAACUAUUAAAGCACACAUGUUGCUUUAC
rnacentral:lncRNA from 1 species